rnacentral:rRNA from 1 species
GGAAUUUUGCACAAUGGAGGAAACUCUGAUGCAGCGAUGCCGCGUGAGUGAAGAAGGCCUUUGGGUUGUAAAGCUCUUUUGUGGGGGAAGAUAAUGACGGUACCCCAAGAAUAAGAUCCGGCUAACUUCGUGCCAGCAGCCGCGGUAAUACGAAGGGAUCUAGCGUAGUUCGGAAUUACUGGGCGUAAAGCGCGCGUAGGCGGUUUAGAAAGUUAAUUGUGAAAUCCCAAAGCUUAACUUUGGAACAGCAAUUAAAACUUCUAAACUAGAGUUUGAUAGAGGGAAGCGGAAUACAUAGUGUAGAGGUGAAAUUCGUAGAUAUUAUGUAGAACACCAGUUGCGAAGGCGGCUUCCUGGGUCAACACUGACGCUGAGGUGCGAAAGUAUGGGUAGCAAAGAGGAUUAGAUACCCUCGUAGUCCAUACCUUAAACGAUGAUUGCUAGAUGUUGGAAAUUUUUUUUCAGUAUCGCAGCUAACGCGUUAAGCAAUCCGCCUGGGGAGUACGACCGCAAGGUUAAAACUCAAAUGAAUUGACGG